UACGGAGGGGGCUAGCGUUGUUCGGAAUUACUGGGCGUAAAGCGCGCGUAGGCGGACCUGCAAGUCGGGGGUGAAAGCCCGAGGCUCAACCUCGGAACUGCCUUCGAUACUGCGGGUCUCGAGUCCGGGAGAGGUGGGUGGAAUUCCUGGUGUAGCGGUGAAAUGCGUAGAUAUCAGGAGGAACACCGGUGGCGAAGGCGGCUCUCUGGACCACAACUGACGCUGAGGCGCGAAAGCUAGGGGAGCAAACAGG
rnacentral:rRNA from 1 species